UUGACAAGGGGCCUUAUAACAGCCACCUUAUAUGCUUUAGGCACAUGUCCUAAUGUCAGAGAUGAGUUAAUAAUACCAAGAAGAGGAUCUAUAAUUUCUGGGAGCAUCUCUUUCAGUAGAUUUGUAGGUAUAGGGUCUAGUAUGCAUGUUGUUGAUUUAGAUGAUCUAAUAAUUUUAGACAGCUCAUCUUGAUCUACGGUAUAAAAUAAUUGCAUUUUCUCCUUAAGGGCGCUGUAGUUAGUUUGUUCAGCGGGUUUCACUUCUGAUUGCAUUGUUAUAAUUUUUUCUCUAAUAUCUUGGAUUUUAUAUGUGAAGUAGUUCAUAAAUUCAUCACUGCUAUGCUGAUAUACAGGAUCAGAAGUCACUGACGAUUUAUUUUUUGUUAAUUUAGCCACUGUGUUAAAUAAAAACCUAUGUUGUGCUGGUUUUCUUCUAUUAGUGAUGAAAAGUAGGCGGAUCUAGAAGUUUUUAGGGCUUUCCUGUAUUUUCGAAUACUAUCCUUCCAUGCUGUACGAAAUACCUCUAAUUUAGUUUUCUUAAAGUUGCGCUCCAUUUUUCGGGCCGCUUUCUUUAGAGCCUGAGUGUGUUCAUUAUACCACGGUGAGGGGCUGCCAUUUUUAAUGUUCUUUAAACGUAGUGGAGCAACUGUGUCUAGCGUUACCGAGAAGGUGGAAUUAAAAUUUUCAGUGGUAAUGUCAAGAUCUUCAACGUUAUUUCUCAUGUUAGCGAUUUGAGACAAUUCGGGCAGAUUAUCGAGAAACGCAUUUUUGCUAGUUGAAAUUAUUGUUCUACAUAUUCGUAACAAUGAGUUUUAUUUGCAGCCGUAGGCCAGUGAAGCAAACAUAAUACCAGAUAAUGAUCCGAAAUGUCUUCACUCUGCUGAAGGAUUUUAACAUCGUCCACAUUUAUACCGUAAGACAUUAUUAAAUCUAAAGUAUGAUUACGAAGGUGAGUGGGUCCUGACACAUGUUGACUAAUGCCCAUGGAGUUAAGAGUGUCUUUGAAAGCCAUUCCUAAGGCAUCUGUAACGUUAUCUACAUGGAUGUUAAAGUCACCAACGACAAGGAGUCUAUCUGUGGCCAGUACUAGUUCUGAUAAGAACCCACCAAAUUCUUUAAUAAAAUCUGUGUGGUGCACUGGAGGCCUAUAUACAAUAGCUAGAAUAAAUUUUAAAAGUGUUUUAUCCUUAGUAUUAGGUGUUGAAACAUGAAGAACCAUGACUUCAAAAUAAUUAUAUUUAGAGUUCGACUUCUGGUAAAUGAUAAAAGAGUUAUUGUAAAGUGCUGCGACACCUCCCCUUCUGCCUUUUAGACGAGGCUCAUGUUUAUAGUAAUAAUCUUGGGGGACAGAUUCAUUUAAAGUAAUAUAAUCAUCUGGUUUUAGCCAUGUUUCUGUCAAACAGAGCAUGUCUAUUUUAUGAUCUGUUAUCAUAUCGUUAACAAAAAGUGCUUUAUUAGAGAGAGAUCUAAUAUUUAGCAAUCGGAGUCGUAACAGUUGGUUAUCUGUAUUUUGUUCAUGUUUAGUUUGUUUAACGUUUAUUAAAUUACUUUCAAGAGGUUUAUGCAUUAUUUUAUGUUUGCUAAUCCGGGGGACAGACACAGUCUCUAUUUUGUGAUGUUUGGGAGAACAGAUUAUUACAUGUUGUACAUUUUGUGUAUUCUGCGACGUGAGACGGCAAGCAGACAGUUGGUUAAGCCAUUCUGUCUGCUCCCUGACCUGGGCCCCAGCGAGUCAAGCUUUAGCAUUAGCAUUAUUAAGACUUUUUGCCAUAUUUCUAGACAGGAUGGAAGCCCCAGCCCAGGAGGGAUGGAGACCAUCUCGUUUCAACAGGUCAGGUCUGCCCUCAAAACUCUUCAAUCAAGAUACCUCUAACAUUAAAGGGGACAUUCUUUUUCUGUUUUUGAAGCUUUGAUUAUGUUUUUUUAACAGUGGAUGUUCAUGUUUCUAGUUUAAAAAAAAACUUUAUAUUUCACAAAUUUCAAGUCUAUUGUUCACCGCUGUCCCUCUUCUCACAAAACACCUGGAUUUUUUCCGGUUUAUAUAAAGUCCCUCCUUCCGAAACGCUCUGAUAGGUAAAGCUGAUCUGGUCUGUCGUGAUUGGUUCCCCGCUUAGAGCGUGUGUCUGAAGAUGUCCCACCCACACCAUAUAUCAUCGAGCUUCCACUUCUCAGGCUGUUGUGAUUGGUCGGUGCACGUGUAUUUAUAAGCUUUGGCUUUCAGCAAUAAUCAGUAACAAUGGCGUCAACUUCACUUCAUCAGUUAAAAACAUGAUCGAUCGAAGUGUAACGGAGGUCUGCUAGUGCAUGUGUAAACGUCAAUCUUUAUUUAGAGAUCGCGAUUUUUUCCUACUAUGGCGAGGGAAAUGACACCGGACCGAUUGGGUAAGACCGAUUAUAUUUAUUAAUGCUAAUAACAGAAACGUUAGUUUUUCCUUUUUAUAUUGGACCUAAGUUGGAUAAUUAAACAAGCAGAUUGACUAGGAGACAUUUGCAAGCAGGACAUACGUUUCAUAGAAGUGUUUUAGAGGUAUACACACACACGCACGCACGCACGCACGCACGCACGCACACACACACACACACACACACACACACACACACACAAUAUCAGUGUGUUAAACAGAACAGUUUUCACAGCCGAUGUUAAAGUCAUAUUUGACCGUUGGUUAUCUUAGAAUGUGUGUAGCAGAAUUCUUAUUAUAAAACGGUCAGUUCUGGUCCUUGAUUCUGAUUGGCUGAGCGGAGUUCUAAACCGUGAUAAAAUAACCCAGUAACCCGCUGCUUCUUGGGGUUUAUUGCUUUAUUACCAGCUGUAGGACUGUGAUGGAAGUGAAAGUAAUUAAGCACGAAGCUCAGUCAAAUGUUUACAAUCUCUGAUAACCAAACACUACUCCAGCGACUCUUCCUAUUCUCUAAGGAAGGCUUCGCCCUUUUUUGGCGUAUUCCUUUGGGUGGAGGUUUUUCAAAAACUCGGAUUAGUGACAUAAUUUACCCCGGAAGUAAAGUGCUGUAGUCCGAUUCCAACCGUUCUCUGUAGUCCUUGAAAAGCAAAUUCUGUUAAAGACAAUAUCUCGCUUGGAAUUGAACUUUGAGCUUUUUCAUUUUGCAGAUAAUGUUUAUGCUCUAACAGCAACAUUACACACUAACUAAAGUUUGAAAAUUGGCAUCACGGGGAAUGGCCCCUUUAAAGUUAAUCUGGGACUAGGUUUAAACCCUGUCCAGGAAACCGCCCCAUAGACUACUAGGGCCUACUACCUUGGUUCUAGCCUUGCAGGAUUAGUAAACUUCUCCCUCUGCACCCAAACAAAAAAGAUUAAAGUAUUUAAAGUAAUGAUAAGACAUGCUAUAGUACUUUGUAAUGAUUAACAUGAGUUUGAUUACAAGUGACUCCUCUCAAAUGCUCCAUCUGGUUUUAUAAUGUGACACUGUCUUUCUAUAUCUAUGUGAAUGCAUACUGUUGCUGAUUAAGACAAUUAAAGUUACUAAAAACUGAUCUAAAUAGGGGGAUUUUCAAGCCUUUUGUAAUUGCUGAGAAAAAGAAAUGUCACCAGGUGAGCUGAGAGCUGGUAGAGAUAGAAAGAGCUCACCAAUAAAAGUGCUCUUUUGCGCUCUCUAGUGACUAACAUUACAGCAAUAAAUAGACUCCUUUCGAACAUUCAGAGGGACUCAGCGGGAAAAAAACCGAUAACCUUCAGAAAUUUUCAGAAGCAGUGCAGACCUGAACACAUCUUCACACUAUGUAUGGAAGCUAGUUAGAGACUAUGGGCCAAAUCGUGAAAUAUUUUCAUUUUUGAGAUGCAGAAAGCCAUACUCCUUUGUGAAUAUGCAUGUUUUGGGUAGCUGAGAAGACUUGGCGCCACCUUUAAUGGCCCAUGACGGGAGUCAUUGUUAUUGUAACAGAGAUAACACAGAGUUACAUGCCAAUCGAAUGCUCCUUCCCACCUCUAUUUCUACAGUAAAAGGCCGAAGCAAUAGUUUGAUGGUAAAGUCACGUGAAUGUGUUCAGAUGGGGCGGAUCUACAUAAUCAUAUAGAAGUCUGUGGCGUUAUAAAGCCACAGGAAUUUGAAUAGAGUAGCAGAUCUGUGUGAACGGGAGGAAGGACCCACGCAGCGGGGAUGUUCUGCAUCGGUUGAAAUGCACAGCGGUACGUAUCCUUGCGCCAAUGAGAGGAAAACAAAGAUAUCUAACCAGAGACGUAGCGGGGACAUCUCUAUUCGCAUCCGGACCAUUCUCUAUGGUGGUGUCAUUUCUCAUCGGGAUCCCUGGAUCUUGCGUCUGUUUUAGACACAUCUGUCUGGAUAAUCAGGACGCUAUUUCAUCAUCUGAUUCUCUGUUCAAGUAUUAUGGACUCAUUGAAAUGUUCAGCUGACGGUCCGAGUGCGACUUUACUGAAGAAUGUGGCAUGGAAUUUCUCGUAAUACCAAUGUCUCCCUCUCUUUUGAUUGGAACGCAAACUGUUUCUACGGACUUUGGAUAAUCUUGUAUGGUUAUUAUUUUUUCUUUUCCCUGAUCUGGCGUGAAUUUAGGAUGCUGUGUCUGUCUCCUACAGUAACCCACAACCUGUUAUUCUGGUUUUUAAUUCUCCAAACACCACAAUUAACUGUACCUUUAAUCAUAGGUACAGAAGCUAGCUGUGAAAACGAGGGAGAAGUAUUACACAUCCCCAACAUCACAGACAACCCCUGUAUCUCCUGUGUCUGUCUGGAUAAAAAAGCUGACUGUAAACAAGAAAGGUGCCUGCUUGUGGCAGAGGACUGUGCGCUUGUGGUCAAACAGACGGGAGCCUGCUGUGAAAAAUGCAAAGGUCAAUUCAAACACACUUAAU